GGCUCGUAUGUUGUGUGGAAUUGUGAGCGGAUAACAAUUUCACACAGGAAACAGCUAUGACCAUGAUUACGCCAAGCUCUAAUACGACUCACUAUAGGGAAAGCUUGCAUGCGUGCAGGUCGACUCUAGCNGGAUCUACUAGUCAUAUGGAUUAGAGUUUGAUCCUGGCUCAGGACGAACGCUGGCGUCGCGCCUAAGACAUACAACAUGAAGUCGUAAUCGUUAGUAAUCGCAGGUCAGCAUACUGCGGUGCAUACGUUCCCGGGCNUUGUACACACCGCCCGUCACGCCACAACAAGUCUGAGACACCCGAAGUCAGUUGGCCUAACCCGNAAAGGAGGGAGCUGCCGAAUGUAGGUCAGAUGAUUGUGGCUG
rnacentral:rRNA from 1 species